AAAAUGUGGUUCUGGGAUCUGCCAAAUGCUCUGUUUCAGUCCUUGGGGACAUAAUGGGUCGUGCGCUAAAUAAUCUUGAUGGCUUGCUACAGAUGCCAUCUGGCUGUGGAGAA